rnacentral:rRNA from 1 species
UACGAAGGGGACUAGCGUUGUUCGGAUUUACUGGGCGUAAAGCGCGCGUAGGCGGAUCGCUAAGUCAGGGGUGAAAUCCCGGGGCUCAACCCCGGAACUGCCUUUGAUACUGGUAGUCUCGAGUCCGGAAGAGGUGAGUGGAAUUCCGAGUGUAGAGGUGAAAUUCGUAGAUAUUCGGAGGAACACCAGUGGCGAAGGCGGCUUCCUGGACAGUUACUGACGCUGAGACGCGAAAGCGUGGGGAGCAAACAGG